CGUGCCCCUUCCAUGCCCAAGUUUUCCUUCCAUGCCAACCUCUCUUGGUUUAAGAUUUGGAUUAGGAUGAAAUCAAAUUCAAAAGGGUUUUGAAUUUGACAUGAAUCCUUAUGAGAUAAGGAUUAACCUUAUCCUUCUUGGAUGCCAUCUACUAAAAGGCUCCUCUCUUGUGCAUGAAAACUGAUGAAAAACCAGAUUUUAGCAUGUAA
rnacentral:lncRNA from 1 species